GUUUGUGACCUACAUAAUUUUUCUUCUUUCUAAAGAAUUUAUUUGAGGGCCAGGGAUUUAUCUCAGUGGUUCUGCCACCUGCUCAUAAGUGUAAGGUCCGGAGUUUGAUCCUGAAAAAAAAAAAAAAAAAAAGAAUUUAUUUGAAAUUUUCUUUCAAGGCAGGUAUAUUGCCAUCAAAUUCCCUCAGCUGUCUGAGAAAGAUGUUUAUUCUUUCACUUCUCCAUAUUACAAGGAAAAUUUUGCUAGUAAAGGCUUUGAGGCUUAGGAGAAGUCUUUUCUUUAAACAUUUUAAAUAUUUUAAUUCAUUCUCUUCUUGCUUGCAGUUUCUGAUGAGAACUGUGUUGUAGUUCUUUGCUUCAUCAAAAAGGUAACAUCCUCCCUCCAGAGUUUUUUACAAUAUUUUCUCUGUGUUUUAUUUUGCAGUUUGAAUAUGAUAUGCCUAGAUGUAGUUUUUGGCAUUUAUUUUAUUUGUUGUUUUUAAACUCCCUAGUUCUAUAAGUUUAUAUGUGUCAUUAAUUUUGGAAAAUUUUAGCUAUUUAGUACCUCAAAUAUGUCUUUUGCUCUUUUUCUGCUUCUAGUAUACCUGACUGCCCAAUGUGUCACCGGCCUCCUGCAGGUACUCAGCGGUGGGCGCCUGCCAACAGGAGCCCACUUGUCCAGGGCCACCUACGCUCUAAGGAGCCACCCAGGGUGGACCUCCAGAGGAUGUCACACUUUCUCCUGGGACUCCUGGAUGUCUGCAGAGAGGGGUCCAAACCUGCCUGCCUGUCAGCCAAGGAGGUGCUCAAGUGGAAAGCUGCUGUGUUCCAAGGGGGCCGUGAAUGUGGGCCUAGAUCCCAGCAGCGAAUGUCUGACUUCCUCCAGAACGGAGCAGAAGGACAUCUAGAGAGGAGAGAAGGAAACAGAAAUGCCACCCUUCUACAAUGCUGCAGUCUGGAAGCACUGCUCUCAAAAAGUCCCACUCCCUCCCACCCUAGGCUCCUUGGGGAGAAAGGCCAUCUGUCCUGACUCAUUCAGCCCUUUCCCCGCCUCAAGACAAGAGUAGCUGAACCCUAAGGCCUUUCUCUGGGUGCAGACAGGACCAGUUAUCAACUAAAAUUAAACUUCAAUUGUGUACCGCUGAUGAGAUCACAGCAUGUACUGGGAAAUAACCGGACAGAAGAAUAAAGUCUGCUUCAAAAUCUUGCACAUCUUGAUUUUUU
rnacentral:lncRNA from 1 species